UAGCCAAGUGUUUAAGGCUAUGGAUCGCCAAUCCGGAGACGGCGGGUUCGAUUCCCGU
rnacentral:tRNA from 1 species